AGUGAACGCUGGCGGUAGGCCUAACACAUGCAAGUCGAACGGCAGCACAGUAAGAGCUUGCUCUUACGGGUGGCGAGUGGCGGACGGGUGAGGAAUACAUCGGAAUCUACUUUUUCGUGGGGGAUAACGUAGGGAAACUUACGCUAAUACCGCAUACGACCUACGGGUGAAAGCAGGGGAUCUUCGGACCUUGCGCGAUUGAAUGAGCCGAUGUCGGAUUAGCUAGUUGGCGGGGUAAAGGCCCACCAAGGCGACGAUCCGUAGCUGGUCUGAGAGGAUGAUCAGCCACACUGGAACUGAGACACGGUCCAGACUCCUACGGGAGGCAGCAGUGGGGAAUAUUGGACAAUGGGCGCUAGCCUGAUCCAGCCAUACCGCGUAGGUGAAGAAGGCCUUCGGGUUGUAAAGCCCUUUUGUUGGGAAAGAAAAGCAGCAGGUUAAUACCCCGCUGUUCUGACGGUACCCAAAGAAUAAGCACCGGCUAACUUCGUG
rnacentral:rRNA from 1 species